rnacentral:rRNA from 1 species
CACGUAGUUAGCCGGGGCUUCUUCUGCAGGUACCGUCACCUUGCGGCCUCGUCCCUGCUGAAAGCGGUUUACAACCCGAAGGCCUUCAUCCCGCACGCGGCGUCGCUGCAUCAGGCUUUCGCCCAUUGUGCAAGAUUCCCCACUGCUGCCUCCCGUAGGAGUCUGGGCCGUGUCUCAGUCCCAAUCUGGCCGGUCGGUCUCUCAACCCGGCUACCCAUCAUUGCCUUGGUAGGCCACUACCCCACCAACUAGCUAACAGGCCGCGGGCCCAUCCUUUGCCGCCGGAGCUUUCCCAUAUUCGCCAUGCGACAAAUAUGGAGUAUCCGGUAUUAACCUCGGUUUCCCGAGGCUAUCCCAGUGCAAAGGGCAGGUUGCCCACGUGUUACUCAGCCGUUCGCCACUUUAUACACAUCCGAAGAUGCUUUAACCGUUCGACUUGCAUGUGUUAGGCGCGCCGCCAGCGUUCAUCCUGAGCCAGGAUCAAACUCU